GGACUACAAGGGUAUCUAAUCCUGUUUGAUCCCCACGCUUUCGUGCAUCAGCGUCAAUUCACCCGUAGUCAGCUGCCUUCGCAAUCGGUGUUCUAUGUCAUAUCUAAGCAUUUCACCGCUACAUGACAUAUUCCGCUGACCUCCAGGAAAUUCAAGACAAAUAGUAUCAAUGGCAGUUCUGGAGUUAAGCUCCAGGAUUUCACCACUGACUUACCUGCCCGCCUACGCACCCUUUAAACCCAGUGAAUCCGGAUAACGCUUGCACCCUCCGUAUUACCGCGGCGGCUGGCAC
rnacentral:rRNA from 1 species